GACGAACGCUGGCGGCGUGCUUAACACAUGCAAGUCGAACGAGUGGCGAACGGGUGAGUAACACGUGGGUGACCUGCCCUGCACUUCGGGAUAAGCCUGGGAAACUGGGUCUAAUACCGGAUAGUGUGGGAUGGGCCCGCGGCCUAUCAGCUUGUUGGUGGGGUAAUGGCUACCAAGGCGCGACGGGUAGCCGGCCUGAGAGGGUAAUCGGCCACAUGGGGACUGAGACACGGUCCAGACUCCUACGGGAGGCAGCAGUGGGGAAUAUUGCACAAUGGGCGCAAGCCUGAUGCAGCCAUGCCGCGUGUAUGAAGAAGGCCUUCGGGUUGUAAAGUACUUUCAGCGAGGAGGCGUUACUCGCAGAAGAAGCACCGGCUAACUCCGUGCCAGCAGCCGCGGUAAUUC
rnacentral:rRNA from 1 species